AUUGAACGCUGGCGGCAUGCCUUACACAUGCAAGUCGAACGGCAGCGCGGACUUCGGUCUGGCGGCGAGUGGCGAACGGGUGAGUAAUACAUCGGAACGUACCCUGUUGUGGGGGAUAACUAGUCGAAAGAUUAGCUAAUACCGCAUACGACCUGAGGGUGAAAGUGGGGGACCGCAAGGCCUCACGCAGCAGGAGCGGCCGAUGUCUGAUUAGCUAGUUGGUGGGGUAAAGGCCCACCAAGGCGACGAUCAGUAGCUGGUCGGAGAGGACGAUCAGCCACACUGGGACUGAGACACGGCCCAGACUCCUACGGGAGGCAGCAGUGGGGAAUUUUGGACAAUGGGGGCAACCCUGAUCCAGCAAUGCCGCGUGUGAAGAAGGCCUUCGGGUUGUAAAGCACUUUUGUCCGGAAAGAAAUCGCGCUGGUUAAUACCUGGCGUGGAUGACGGUACCGGAAGAAUAAGCACCGGCUAACUACGUGCCAGCAGCCGCGGUAACAC
rnacentral:rRNA from 1 species